rnacentral:ncRNA from 1 species
GUUUCCUGCGAGGUCCCACCUCCUCCCGGGACCUGUAGCAGCAGCGGCGACGCCUCUCCUCCUCCCUGGUGUCGCCGUCCUUU